rnacentral:rRNA from 1 species
UCCUGUCUGAAUAUGGGGGGACCAUCCUCCAAGGCUAAAUACUCCUGACUGACCGAUAGUGAACCAGUACCGUGAGGGAAAGGCGAAAAGAACCCCGGCGAGGGGAGUGAAAAAGAACCUGAAACCGUGUACGUACAAGCAGUGGGAGCCCCACCACUAAGCCAGUGGUGAACUCCACAUACGCAUCCUUUGCUGAGGAUACGGUUAACGGAGCGMAAGCGACGUUCAACCKCAAAAGAAGCAGAGGGGGCUUAGUGGUGGGGUGACUGCGUACCUUUUGUAUAAUGGGUCAGCGACUUAUAUUCUGUAGCAAGGUUAACCGWAUAGGGGAGCCGGAGGGAAACCGAGUCUUAAYCGGGCGUUAAGUUGCAGGGUAUAGACCCGAAACCCGGUGAUCUAGCCAUGGGCAGG